rnacentral:rRNA from 1 species
UACGAAGGGUGCAAGCGUUACUCGGAAUUACUGGGCGUAAAGCGUGCGUAGGUGGUUUGUUGCGUCGGCUGUGAAAUCCCGAGGCUCAACCUCGGGUUUGCAGUCGAUACGAGCAAACUAGAGUGUUGCAGGGGAGACUGGAAUUCCUGGUGUAGCGGUGAAAUGCGCAGAUAUCAGGAGGAACACCGAUGGCGAAGGCAGGUCUCUGGGCAUUAACUGACGCUGAGGAGCGAAAGCAUGGGGAGCGAACAGG